UACGUAGGUGACCAGCGUUGUCCGGAUUUACUGGGCGUAAAGAGCGCGCAGGCGGUCGUUCAAGUCGAGUGUGAAAGCCCCCGGCUCAACUGGGGAGGGUCAUUCGAUACUGAUCGACUUGAAGGCAGGAGAGGGAAGCGGAAUUCCCGGUGUAGUGGUGAAAUGCGCAGAUAUCAGGAGGAACACCGGUGGCGAAGGCGGGUCUCUGGGCCGAUACUGACGCUGAGGAGCGAAAGCGUGGGGAGCGAACAGG
rnacentral:rRNA from 1 species